ensembl:snRNA U7 U7 small nuclear RNA
GAAAAUUUGCUAUUUUAGUAUUUCUCCAGUAGAUUUUCUCAAGGAGAAAGUCUCC